GAGUGGGAGGUAGAUUUUCAAUGCUCACAUAAUUAAUAGGCAAUAUUUUUAUUAAUCAGGUCACUUAACCAUUGUAAUUCUUUUCCAGGUGACCAUUACGGUGUGCAGUCAACUGGGGAGUCUUGGUAUUAGCAUUGCUGGUGGAAAGGGCUCAUCUUCAUGUAAAGAAAGUGACGAGGGAAUCCUGAUUGCACGGCUGCCAAAAGAUGGUCAAUCAGACUUGGCUGGUGUACAAGCAGGAGACAGAGUGGCUGAGGCAACCUUUGUUUCAGAGCCUGCUGCCCUUGAUGCUGGUCCUACUGAAGCGUCCCCCAAGGCCAGCCCCUCCCCGACAGUCAACCAUGUCAUAACAAAUUAUCUGUAGAAGAUGGAAGUUUCACACCUUCCCACAUGCCUUAGACAAGCAACUCAGAUACCUCGGAUAAUCCUCACACGCCCUUCCACUUCUGAUGAAGAUGCUGACCAGUUGCCCCCAGACCCUGAAGACUUUGAGCCCGAGGAGCCUGACAGUGCAGAAGGUCAUGCCUAUUCAGACUGUCUGAGCAGUGCUUUUUAUCCUCCCUAAUAAAGUACUUUUCU